rnacentral:rRNA from 1 species
ACAGGGAUUGCCUCAGUAACGGCGAGUGAAGCGGCAAAAGCUCAAAUUUGAAACCCUCGGGAUUGUAAUUUGAAGAUUUGGCAUUGGAGAAAGCUAACCCAAGUUGCUUGGAAUAGUACGUCAUAGAGGGUGACAACCCCGUCUGGCUAACCGUUCUCCAUGUAUUGCCUUAUCAAAGAGUCGAGUUGUUUGGGAAUGCAGCUCAAAGUGGGUGGUAAACUCCAUCUAAAGCUAAAUACUGGUGAGAGACCGAUAGCGAACAAGUACUGUGAAGGAAAGGUGAAAAGAACUUUGAAAAGAGAGUGAAAUAGUAUGUGAAAUUGUUGAUAGGGAAGGAAAUGAGUGGAGAGUGGCCGAGGUUUCAGCCGCCCCUCGUGGGCGGUGUACUGCCGACGCCGAGUCAUCGAUAGCGAGACGAGGGUUACAAAUGGGAGCGCCUUCGGGCGUUCUCCCCUAACCCUCCACACUGCCACCGACGACAUAAUCCACCCAUUUCACCCGUCUGGAAAACACGGACCAA